UAAUACGUAGGAGGCGAGCGUUAUCCGGAUUUAUUGGGCGUAAAGAGCGCGCGGGCGGCUCAUUAAGUCAGUCGUGAAAUCUCCCGGCUCAACCGGGAGGGGUUGACUGAUACUGGUGGGCUUGAGGGCAGCAGGGGGAGGUGGAAUUCCCGGUGUAGUGGUGAAAUACGUUGAUAUCGGGAGGAACACCAGGGGCGAAGGCGGCCUCCUGGGCUGUGCCUGACGCUGAGGCGCGAAAGCGUGGGGAGCAAACAGGAUUAGAUACCCUGGUAGUCCACGCCCUAAACUUUGGACACUAGGUAUGGGGGGUAUCGACCCCCUCCGUGCCGAAGCUAACGCUAUAAGUGUCCCGCCUGGGGACUACGGCCGCAAGGCUA
rnacentral:rRNA from 1 species